rnacentral:rRNA from 1 species
GUGAGGAAUAUUGGGCAAUGGGCGAAAGCCUGACCCAGCCACGCCGCGUGAGUGAUGAAGGCCUUCGGGUUGUAAAGCUCUGUGGGGAGGGAAGAAAAAGCGGGAGAGUAACUGCUCUCGUGUUGACGGUACCUCCUUAGCAAGCACCGGCUAACUCUGUGCCAGCAGCCGCGGUAAUACAGAGGGUGCAAACGUUGCUCGGAAUUACUGGGCGUAAAGCGCGUGUAGGCUGACAUGCAAGUCGGGUGUGAAAUCCCAGGGCUCAACCUUGGAACUGCACUCGAAACUGCACGUCUUGAGUACUGGAGAGGGAAGCGGAAUUCCGGGUGUAGAGGUGAAAUUCGUAGAUAUCCGGAGGAACACCAGUGGCGAAGGCGGCUUCCUGGACAGUAACUGACGCUGAGACGCGAAAGCGUGGGGAGCAAACAGGAUUAGAAACCCGGGUAGUCC